AAACCUCAACCUCCUUGGUUUCUUCUGGAGACCGAAGGAGGCUUGGACUUUGGAGGCAUUUGCUGGACUUUUGAAGCCCAGCUCCUCUCAAAUGAAUUAGCGGGGUCCUCUUUGCCGGUCCUUGACACGUGAUAAGAUGCUUCCGUGUCUCGGUUUCUGGCUCUGUCGCCUUUGGGACCCGCUUCUAACCGUCUAGACCUAGGUCGAGACAACGUUCGAGCUCGUCUCCCUUCUCGGGAGACCUUCUCGGCCCCACGAAC
rnacentral:misc_RNA from 1 species